AAUUACAGAUUAGCUUCAGCAGAUAGUUUAGGAUCUUCUUGGUGAGAACUCCUAAUCAUGAAAGUUAAAUUAUUAGCAUACCAAGAAUAUCCAAACCAGAUAUCAAAAAUCUGUUUCAUUGAAUAAAAUCAAAUGGAUUACCCAUUACAGUAAAGGGUUCUAAGCAUGGAAUGAAAUGUCCUAUUUCUACAUUAUUUACUUUUGGAUGAAAUAAUGUACGCUAAAAAUAGCUAUUUUAACAUAUUUUUCUUGGUGUUGUGAUGGGAGCUAAAUGGUACAGCUCUUGAUAUCCUCUAGCAAUCUUCAAAUAGAAAUCACUGCUUUUCUUCCAAUACGCCAUAAGCCUUCCUUGUUGGUUUCUCUAAAGCAAGAUGGAAGAAGGGGUGCUGAAUUCAUGAAAAUGUAUAUGCAUCCAAAGCUAUCUGCUUACAGCAAAGAUCAAUAUGAAAUAAAUCAAAAUCUUAACUUCUAUUUUUUUCUACCAAUGAAUACUGAAAGAUAUUUUCAAUACAUUUAGUAAUGCUUUUUUACUAUUAGUUCAGAAGCUGGGGUUCUUUAGCCACCCAUCCUAUCCAUGUGUAAGUUUCUGUGCUUGCACAAUUAUUGUAUAAAAUACAGUGGGGUGGAUAUGUAUAGGGUAGAUUCACUGUAAUACCUGCAUCCUGAUUUAUAAUUUUGCUUUAUGAUAUUUCAGGUUAUAUCCAAAUAAAGCUGAUUUCAAUA